GCGCCUGUAGCUCAGCUGGAUAGAGCGUCGGCCUCCGAAGCCGAAGGUCGCAGGUUCGAAUCCUGCCGGGCGCACCA
rnacentral:tRNA from 3 species